rnacentral:tRNA from 1 species
UGGCCGAGUGGUUAAGGUGAUGGACUAGAAAUCCGUUGGGGUCUCCCCGCGCAUGUUCGAAUCCUGCCGACA